rnacentral:lncRNA from 1 species
ACAGACAAAAUCCCUGCCUUUGAGGAGUCUACAUUCUAGGGGCUCCCAGAUUAUCAUUUGUGAUAUUUAACAUAUUUAAGAUCAUUUAAGAUAACUUUGAGAUAUCUGGAGAGACACACCAAGAAAGGAAUGAUGAAGCUAUCAGAAUCCUAAAUCAACAAGAAACCACAUCUAUAGCAUUUUUACUUAGCACUCUCCCCUUAGCAACCUCUU